GAUGAACGCUGGCGGCGCGCCUAACACAUGCAAGUCGAACGAUUAAAGCACCUUCGGGUGUGUAUAAAGUGGCGAACGGCUGAGUAACACGUGGGCAACCUGCCCCUCUCAUUGGGAUAGCCACGGGAAACCGUGGAUAAUACCGAAUACUUCGGGACUUCCGCAUGGAAGACUCGAGAAGGCUCCGGCGGAGAGGGAUGGGCCCGCGGCCUGUUAGCUUGUUGGUGGGGUAAUGGCCUACCAAGGCAAUGAUGGGUAGCUGGGUUGAGAGACCGACCAGCCAGAUUGGGACUGAGACACGGCCCAGACUCCUACGGGAGGCAGCAGUGGGGAAUCUUGCACAAUGGGCGAAAGCCUGAUGCAGCGACGCCGCGUGCGGGAUGAAGGCCUUCGGGUUGUAAACCGCUUUCAGCAGGGACGAGGCGAAAGUGACGGUACCUGCAGAAGAAGCCCCGGCUAACUACGUG
rnacentral:rRNA from 1 species